UGGGGGAGGGGUGAUUGUGGCUUUCUGCUGCCCUCAGCAGGCGGCUGCCAGUCCCCUUGAAGUGAAACCUGAGGCGGCAACUGUCCUGUGUGGUGUGAGUGUGUACGAUGCUGGGAUACGGAAGUAUAUGUAAAAGUCUAAGUUGCUCUGAGAUAUUCUUUUUCCUCUCCACUGUGUGUUCAUGCCUGUACCCUACCAGUCUCCAAUGAAUGGGUGUUUGAUGUUGACUGCCAUUAUGACCUGCAUGAUAAAGGCCUUUGUGCUCCACACUAAGAGCAUGCAGCACACAGUCAAACCAGAAUAUAAGCCCUUGGCAUUGCACGAGGACAUCUCAGAGCUCCAGCUGCAGGCACACAGGACUUCAGUUGAGCCACUAUUCAAGUACUUGUGCAGAUGGAAAGCUGCUCUCUGUGGAAGUCUGAUCCUACCUUUACGUGUUUCUGCAAACCACUCUCAUGCAGAACUGUCUGGAGACAGCCAUGAACCUCUGACUUGAAAAUGGAUCCUUCCUUCAUUCAUUAAUUCAUCCACCCAUCAAUUUAUUGAGCUCUAGUCUGAAGGUUGACAUUAAUUAAGGGAAUAAGAAAGAGCUCCUCAUACUUCCCAAGGUCAAUUGAGGGUAAAGGUAUUUAAAUACCCAAUUACAAUGCGAUGCGACAAGCACCACAGCACACAUGGGCAUAAGAAAGACAACAGAAUAAUUGAUUCAGCCUCACAGAGAAAUUAAUUUUGAGUUGAUUCCUGAAGUUUGAAUCAUUCACCAAAGGAGGAAAUAACAUACACAAUGGAAAAGAAUUAUUUGAAGCAUGGUCUGUGAGGGAAAUUGAAGUUACAGAUGUGUUUGUAUGUGUUGAAUGGGCAGGGGGUGGUAGACAAAGGCCAGCUUAUGAAGAACCUGGCAUGUAAGGCUGGAAGAUACUCUCUUCCCUGAGGACCCAGGCGGUCAGUGAAGGUGACUUAGUCUACUUGAGCUGUCACAAAAAAUGCCAUGGACUGGGGGUUUAAACAACAUUUAUUUUUCAUAGUUUUGGGUGCUGGAAGUGUACAAUCAGGGUGCCAGCAUGGUUGAGUUCUUGGUGAGGUCCCUUUCCAUGGAUAUAUCUUUACAUGGUCUUUCCUUGGUGUGGAGAAAGAUAGGGGGUGGGGAGAGAAAGAGAGUGAGAGAGGGAGAGAGGUCUUGAGUAGUUCCCUCUUCUUAUAAGGGUACUAAUCCCAUCAUGGUAGUCCUACCCUCAUGAACUUAUCUAAACCUAAUUACUUCCCAAAGGUCCCAUCUCCAAGUACUAUCACUUUGAGAGUUAGGGCUAAAAUAUGUGGAUUUUGGAGGGUUAUAAACAGUCUAUAGCAGAAGGAUUUUAGAUAGAGAAUGACAGGAUCAGCUCUGCAUUCUGAUACACAAUAGCAACUUAAAAACACAAAUAGAAAACCACUUACAAGCAAAGCAAAACUGUUUUUAGAGUGAUUUUAAAAUUAAAAAUACUUUUUCCCACAUUAUCUUGUUGGAUUUGUUCUUUGAAGCCACUUGUGGUGGAUUAUUGGCCCCAUUUUAAAGAUAAGGAAACAGAUCAGAAAGGUUACUGACUUGACCAAGGUGGCUCGGCUAGUAGGAGAUGGAGUGAAAGACAAAACUUGGGAACCUGGAAGAACACAGCUGAAGUAUUUUCCCAACACUUGGCUCUGGGGUUUACCUGGGGCUACUUAUUUCUG